UAUUUUGGAAUAAUUGACUUGCAGAUUUUUCCUUUUAUUUUCAAAAUAUAUGGCAAUAUUUUUAGAAUGAGUUAAUAGAAAUAUUUAAUUCAUAGUAAAUCAAUAGUACUGUUUCCUUAUAUCUAGAAUGACUAUGAUGUUGGCUAUAAAUAUGAAGCCUUCUUUCACACGUCAUUAUUUUCAAGAAUGACAUAUUCUCAAGCAAUGUGUGAAUGUGAAUUGUGUAAGAAUUUCUUGCACGAAAUUCAGGCAAAGAAACCAAAAGAAUCAUCUGUGACUUGAACUACGGCUUCAGGAAAAGUCCUCCCUACAUUUCCGUCCUAAUGUUAAGAAAGGCAUCAUCUAGUCUAGUGCAGAUGGAAAUGAGCAUUUUGAUGAGAAUGAAGACCAUGAAAUGCCAUCUUCUGAGAAGAAAAAACAAAAAACACUGCAUGUAGACUCUUGGCAUUUUCUGUAUUCUGCGCCUGACUGCUCUGAAUUCAGAUGUCCUCUCUCAGAAGGUAAGGACUGAGUUUUGGACCUUUUCCUAUUGGUAGUGCUGAGGGUUUGCUCUUUGCUA
rnacentral:lncRNA from 1 species